CAUUGUCAACCAACCAAUGAUUGUGUCAACACUAAGUUGUACAAAUAGAUCGGAUGUAUAAAUGUUGCAACGGCCCCUUGGCCUGUGUGCAGUUGCAGAGACACCUCCUUUUACUGCAGUUGCUUUUCAGUGAUCUUAUUUUCCUCUGUGGCGAAAACAAGAAGAUGGGAACCUGUUUGAUUUUACUGGGUCUGCUCUCUUUCUGCAGCCUCUGCGUUAGUCAAGAAUGCGCUGAAGAGUUAAUCGAGAAUGUGGAUUUCCCGGGAUCAGACCCCAGCGGAAACCUGAUCGACCCCUGAAGUGCCCCUCUCCUCAACUUCUACUGCUACCUCAAGUCCACUCCCUCUCUAAAGCCCAACGUCCAGACUCCACUACAGGGUGUCACUUCGGGCUUUUCUCUCAAAAACUGCACCUCAGAGCUGC